rnacentral:rRNA from 1 species
UCCAGACUCCUACGGGAGGCAGCAGUGGGGGAUAUUGCACAAUGGGGGGAACCCUGAUGCAGCGGCGCCGCGUGGGUGAAGGAGUGCUUCGGCAUGUAAAGCCCUAUCGGCAGGGAAGAAGCAAGACGGUACCUGACUAAGAAGCCCCGGCUAACUACGUGCCAGCAGCCGCGGUAAUACGUAGGGGGCAAGCGUUAUCCGGAUUUACUGGGUGUAAAGGGAGCGUAGACGGCAGCACAAGUCUGGAGUGAAAUCCCGGGGCUUAACCCCGGAACUGCUUUGGAAACUGUGCGGCUGGAGUGCAGGAGGGGUAAGCGGAAUUCCUAGUGUAGCGGUGAAAUGCGUAGAUAUUAGGAGGAACACCGGUGGCGAAGGCGGCUUACUGGACUGUAACUGACGUUGAGGCUCGAAAGCGUGGGGAGCAAACAGGAUUAGAUACCCGAGUA